rnacentral:rRNA from 1 species
GACGAACGCUGGCGGCGUGCUUAACACAUGCAAGUCUAACGGUGAACCUCUUCGGAGGGGAUCAGUGGCGAACGGGUGAGUAACACGUGGGCAACCUGCCCCCGGCUCUGGGAUAACUCCAAGAAAUUGGGGCUAAUACCGGAUGUUCACCGCUUCCCGCAUGGGUGGUGGUGGAAAGGGUUUCCGGCUGGGGAUGGGCCCGCGGCCUAUCAGCUUGUUGGUGGGGUAGUGGCCUACCAAGGCGACGACGGGUAGCCGGCCUGAGAGGGUGACCGGCCACACUGGGACUGAGACACGGCCCAGACUCCUACGGGAGGCAGCAGUGGGGAAUAUUGCGCAAUGGGCGGAAGCCUGACGCAGCGACGCCGCGUGGGGGAUGACGGCCUUCGGGUUGUAAACCUCUUUCAGCAGGGACGAAGCGCAAGUGACGGUACCUGCAGAAGAAGCACCGGCCAACUACGUG